rnacentral:rRNA from 1 species
AUUGAACGCUGGCGGCAGGCCUAACACAUGCAAGUCGAGCGAGCGGCGGACGGGUGUGUAAUGUCUCGGACACUGCGUGAUGGAGGGGGACAACUACUGGAAACGGUAGCUACUACCGCAUACAAUCAGAUGGGCCCAGAUGGGUUGGGCUAGUAGGUGGGGUAUUGCCUCACCGAGGCGACGAGCCCUAGCUGGUCUGAGAGGAUGACCAGCCACACUGGAAAUGAUACACGGUCCAGACCCCGACGGGAGGCAGCAGUGGGGAAGAUUGCACAAUGGGCGAAAGCCUGACGCAGCCAUGCCGCGUGUGUGAAGAAGGCCUUCGGGUUGUAAAGCACGUUCAGCGAGGAGGCGUUACCCGCAGAAGAAGCACCGGCUAACUCCGGGCCAGCAGCCGCGGUAAUAC